rnacentral:rRNA from 1 species
GGCGGGCUCGUAAGGGAGCAGGUGCGGAGGAAGAAGGGGAAGGGGAAGGUGGGUUUGGUCGUCUUUUUUAGGCCGCUUAGCUUGGAUCCCAAAGUGGAGGGAGCGGCGGCUACUUCCCGCCGGCGGACGUGGCGGGCCUCGGGGGCCGGGGAGUGCGCCGGCGCCGGGACGGGCGCGGGCGGGGGCGGGGGCGGGAGCGCGGGCGGCUGCUGACCCACCUGCCGAGGACCUGCCACCUGACGAGGACGCCGCAGUGGAAGCUGCUGCCGCUCCUCUACCACUCGACGCUGCUGACGUCGCAGACCCACGUGUGCGCCACGCGCGCGAUGCAGGCGCCGCACGUGUGGAGGAAGAGGACGGUGUUGACGGCCGUGUUCGCGCGGGGGAGGAGGCGGCUCGAGGAGCGGCUCGACGGGUGGGUGGCGGGCGGGGGCGAGAUGGCGUCCACCCGGCUCCAGGGCGAGGGGCGGGCGCAGGUGCAGGUGCCGGAGGGGCCGCCGCCCCGGCUGCGGAGGGAGAAGGCGCCUAGGGGGAGGGGGUGGCGGAAGAGGCGGCGGGAGACCGCGACGCGGCCGAUGCAGGGGUUCUUUAAGCCGAAGGCGAUGACGCUCAAGGGGAGGACCCGGCUCCUGUUCCUGUUCUCACGGCUCCUGUUCUCCUGGCUCCUGUUCCUGUUCUCACGGCUCCUGUUCUCCUGGCUCCUGUUCCUGCCACGGCUGCGAGAAAAGCGCUACCGGUCCCUCUUCGCCCUCCUCUGCCGCGGUCGCGGUGGCGGCCGCCGGUCUAAUAGGGAGGGCUAACCCUUAUUCCCUUUGUUCUUUCGAGUUUGGGAUUCGUUCUUCCGACUUCCGUCAGUUGUACGACCGCGUUUUCUUCAAGGAGGAGCCUGUCUACGAUUCUGUUUUCCUCGUGGGUUCUAGCGACGUCUCCGACUAUGUGUCCUAUUACCCAAACUCAGCUUUCCCCUAGAAUUGUACGGACUAUAGUCCGUGUUCCUAGUCAAACGGCUGUAUUGGUACCGGUUAAGACUAAAAUUUCACCAACCACUUCGAUUAUUCUUCUACUUCCUUAGGAACCUUGACUCACCCCUCUUCUCCUCAAGACUCCCUCGAGGUUCCUACGACUUUUUCCUUCUUGGAUUCCUCAGAUAAUUUGACCUCUAGAGGAGACCUCCAUCUCGAUGUAGUCGACACCGUCUUGUCCUUCGUGUGAGUGCCAAACAGUUCCGUCUCCAAUCGUAUACAUUCUUUGUUUAACUUCCUUCGGUAUUACACCUGAAUGUUAGACCGUAUUUCUUACGUCUUUACCUACCUCGAUGCGCAUCGGUACCAAGGUACUUUCACGUGCACCCAGAAGUCUUUGUUGGUUUAGUUCGAAGAAGUUUAGAUGUCCUAGCACUCUCUUGUUUCCAAUGGGUCAAGUAAUUACUACUCGUAUCCUCGCUGUUAGUUCCAGUUCCCUAACCACGUCCAAGAAACUGACGAGUUUCUUCAAGUCGGUUCAGAUAGAGACUAAGUCCGAGACUGGAAGAUUUAAGGCACUGUUUGUCAGUCUACGUGUGUUAUGGACUCGUUUUGAGUCGAAAUCCACGAGUCUUUCAAACGUGACGGAGAAGACCAGGAUGUGUAAGGGUACAACUCUAUAGUGUGAGAAAUCAAAGUCGUCUUGGUAGUAGUCCUCCCUUCUGAUCGGCAAAUUACUUUUUCCUUGUCUGCUUCAACCAAUGAGGACGACUAUCGUUUGUACUAAGACAUUUCGUAGGACGUCUCUCAAGGUUCCUUAAAUCAUCCAGGAGACUCUUUCAAGUUGACUUUCCGAGGGAAAGAAGACGUGGUUUUAGUAGAGUUUGUUCGUUUAGUAUACACGGAAGUCGGUUUGAAUCUCAUGGCCAGAGUUUCCUCGUCAGUGUUUUCUGUGGAUACUGACGACCGUGGUGUCGAUCUAGUAAGGUACCUCUUCACGGUGGUAACGUAAGAGCAUUGUUCCGUUAUGGAAGAUUAAAUGGGGUCUUUUUUCUGUUCUGGGUAGUGGCGAAACAAGUACAGUGUGUUCUCCCGAGAUGAUUAAGUCGUAGUUGACUCAACGCUCGGAGACUACACUGUCGAAGUAACUCACUACUUGUCGAACGCAACAAUAAUGUAGUUGUUAAUUUAUCGAGGGGUUCUCAUGGUUCCCACGGUGCACCGGUUGUUUGUCCAUCGGUCUACGAUGUAGUUUGACCUCGCAGACAAAAAAGGUUCGCCAGAAGUCGUGUACCUCCUUCCCUAGUUUGUGGCCACAAUUUCUUCUCUUUGUUUCUACUACAGCGUAACUCUCUAUUACCGCUGUUGUUCUCUUGACCUUCUCGUUUUAGUACCAUACACAAGUUUGCUUCGAUGGUGACCCAAUCUUUUCCUGCUGGCCUACCUAUCGCCAGAAGGCGCGUCAAAUGGACCUAAGUAACUACUUUAGUAGUCAUCGUUGUCUUUAUAUUGUAUACUGCUUGACACACUACGAUAGCCACUCGUAACCUCCCUAAAUCAAUUUGGGUUUCCUCUUCUAAUAAGUAUAAGGUCGAAAAAUGUACGACAGCUACUAACAGAGUCCUGUUUCUCGCUCACCCGAGUGGAACAAAUGGUCCGAGGUUUCUACUUAGGCUUAUUUGCUGCGUUCCACCUUUCGCUGGGAAGUAGCCGGCUACAUUACCUUUGUCUCUUCUGUUCUUUGGUCCGACUUUCUAUAGGCCCUCUUCUCCCAUCAAGGCUCAGCGUUGUUCCACACGGUUCCCCGUUUUCCUUCCCAGCCUUUGCGAGGGCAGUACUUUACUUUAGGAGCUCAAGGUUCUUCUCCUCCUUCUAUAGCUUGUACCUAAGUAGGAGCCUCCUACGACGAGGGGGAAACAGAUUAAGGUCGUCGUUGGGGUACCAACUACUCUCGGUUCUUCUACUAAGAAGACCGCCACUAUCCGUUGGAUUGAAACGUCCAAGUAUCCUACAGGACGACUACGUCACGACAACCGUUACUGUAAUCUGACCUUCCCCUGGUCGACAAAAGGAAAGACCGGGAGCUUACGUCAUUUUCAAACAACCCUCGUAAAGGAAAUUGGCCUCAAGUCCAAACAUCGUCCGUUGCUUGACAGUCCAAACUACGGGUUGUUCGGCGCGAGUACAUUGUCAUCACAUUAGAUCUCAUUGGUAAAGAAAGGGUCGUCUCAUCUCAUACAAAAAACCAACCGUACGAACUCGAUCAUACAACUCACACGUAAAACAUCGAGACAUACUCGUAUACGGGAUCACGUCAUUUCGUCCGUCAGACAUAUAGUUCAGGAGCUCUUUCGUAAAACUACGGAUAACCAACGGUGGCGGUUCUUCCCGUUUUGGUAACGCUCGAGUUUUUGUAAAAAGCACAAAUCAGCGUUCGGACACAUCGUUGGUUAGGGGUGGCUAUUUGUUUUGUUGACUUACAACACUAGUAUAAACGAGACACGUGUAUGUUUAAUUACAACAC